CCCCGGGCCAUUGUCAUCAAGUUUAGGGGACUUCACUUUCUCUGUCAUCCCAAACAAAGCUUAUCAUAUUGAUUGGCAUUGAACACAUAAGGUUAUGAGCUCAUGUGUCGGUUUCUACCCCCUCCCGAUGAAACCUGAUGUGAAAGAUCCGAGCGAAUUUGACAGAGUUCGUGUGGAAGAAAAGGAAGAAAGUGGAUGUUGUCAACCCUGAUCUCCUUACACUCCAACAACCAUAACUUGAACUAGUGAGGUCCAAUUGACGUGGUUCUAGCAGUAUUGGAAAGCCAACUUCCAGAGCUUUCCAACGAUAUAUAAUAGUAUAUACUUUCUCUCUGGCAUCACGACGCUAAACGCUAUGACAUUAGCGUUUAGCGCCAAACCGCGUCCAGCACUCAUUCUUCUUUAGAGUCCCGGUGCCAAAUGCUAGAAACUGGCGCUAAACCCCGGCAGUGCUAAUAGGAGUGGUCCUUACGUCUUUAAUAAAUCAGCACAGAAGGCUUUAUUUGAUUUUCAAUUUAAUUUUUGAAUUAAGAAAAGAUAUUUUUAGGUUUAGAAUUUAUUAUUUGAUUUUAGUUUCAAAUCAAAUUAGGUUAGAUAUAAAAGGGAAAAGAUUUAGCCCUUCGGGAGAUUGAUGAGCGGAUAUUUUAUACGCUUUUUGGGGGUAAUUUCAUGUAGAUUUUAGUAUGUUUUAAUUAGUUUUAAUAUAAUUUUAUUAGUUUUUAAGCAAAAAUCAUAUUUCUGGACUUUACUAUGAGU